UUGCUUAAAUCUUCAAAUUCGUGCACUUUGAUGUUAUGGGUCUGUGUUUUUACAACCCAGAACAUUAAUAGACUCCCUAUUACACUACUUUAAACAAUCAAUUGCAUCAAUUAACAUCGAAUCGAAGGAUUUCAAAAUUAGGGAAUUUCAUACCUUUUCUAGCUUCGAUUUUUGAUUUUUUUGGCUUUGAUGCUUCUGAUUUGUUGUUUGUGAUGGUUGGGCUUUGUUUAGGGACUGAUAUGCUAGAUAAUUUCGUUGGCUAGAGGUUGAGAGAGUUUGUCUAGAGAGUUUGUGAAAUUUUAGUGUGUAUUUUCAUUAACUCUCCUUGAUCUCUAUUUAUAGAUCAUGUCAAGAGCCUUGGAUACUGAUUUGGCUGCCAUUAUUGAGCUCACAUGAUAAAUAUGAAGUGGUUGGCCGGAUUUGGUGGAAUUGGUAGCACAAUAAUGCACAAAUAAUGCACUAAGAUGGACAAAAAGGGUAAAAUGGUCAUUUCCCUUCUCUUUAAAAAAUAUAUUAGAUACAUUGGAUGCUAAAAUUGGAUGAUUCCAUUGUUUGAUAGCUAAUAACAUGGUAGGGUAAGCAUGUUGGGCAUUUUUGUUACAAGAUUCCAUCAACAAUGUAAGUAAUAAUACACUAAUAAACCAAAAAGGGCAUUUUGGUCAUUUCACAUAUAAUUUCAAGGGCAUUUUUGUACAUAGCAAUUAAAUGUAGUAUUUAAUCACUAGAUGGUAAUUCUUAUCAUUUACCAAUUAAUUUCUAU
rnacentral:lncRNA from 1 species